UACGUAGGGGGCAAGCGUUGUCCGGAUUUAUUGGGCGUAAAGAGCGUGUAGGCGGCCAGGUAGGUCCGUUGUGAAAACUCGAGGCUCAACCUCGAGCCUGCAGUGGGUACGGGCAGACUAGAGUGCGGUAGGGGAGAUUGGAAUUCCUGGUGUAGCGGUGGAAUGCGCAGAUAUCAGGAGGAACACCAAUGGCGAAGGCAGAUCUCUGGGCCGUUACUGACGCUGAGGAGCGAAAGCAUGGGGAGCGAACAGG
rnacentral:rRNA from 1 species